UGGCCUUGGACUUCUAGGCUCAUGGGAUCCUCCCACCUCAGCUUCCUGAGCAGCUGGGACUACAGGUGUGUGCUGCCUUGCCUGGCUUAGUGCCACAUUCUUAAAGUGGAUCUCUGGACUGUGGGUUCCCACUUAUUUUCAUAAAUGAACAUUGAGGUGAGAUUAUUCUGUAAAUACUCUUUAAGAAAUAGUGCAGAGGUAUAAUUGGUAGUGUUUUUUCCUUAAGUCAGUUAAUAACAUUUUUUCUCUUAAUAGUUCUGUAAGUAAGGAAGAGGCCAUUGAAAAAUGACAGUUUGGUACUGGGAGUUUCCUACUGGCAUCCUAUGGCAGGUACUGGCUUUCCCUUAUCCAUUAUGUAUAUAUUCCACCUUCCUCAGGAGAAAAUCUUUCUUCUUUUUUAUUAGGAGAGCCUUAUUUUAUUUCCCUUGCUAAUGAAUAGUGGGCCAAGGUUAUACAAUAUAGUCUUAUGUAAAUUAUUUCCACAUUUUACUCUUUCUGGCCAAGAUAUGGAUGGUAGACUUUGAAUUAAGAAGUGACAUCUGUGAUAGGACAACACAAUCUAGGUUGGACGUGUCCCUCUUAGAUUGUGUUAUGUCAUUAUGGGUAACGUGAACUAAGUUUUCUAGAAUCUUUUCCCUUUUGGAUUUUAUGUUGGAAUUCAGCAGUAGUCUAACUGACAUGAAAGUUGGAAGGCAGAACUGAAGAAGGCAUUAGUCAGGUUUUGGACCCAUCUACAUGGAGACAGACAGGAAAAUCCAAACUGCAAAUGGAUCUUUGAUGUGAAGAUUGUGGAGACAUCUGUGGAACCCGACCCCUCUGAGAAAACAGAAGUAGACAGUGGUGUUUUAAAGAAACUCUUGAUUGUCAGGACAAAGUAUCAGGAAAACAGGCAGGAGGCCAGUGUCCAUGCAGUCCCCUUGCAGCCUUCUUAAGUUCUGCCUCUCAGCUUUCAUGUCGUUAGGCUAUUGGUGAAUUCUAACAUGGAAACAAAAAGAGAAAAGAUUCUAGAAAAUUUAGUUAACAUUACCCAUAUCAACAUAAUCCACCGGGCAACUAAUUAAAACUGUCAUGGUUGAGGGUAUUUUCUGUCGUUCUGACUACCCUCAUCUCUAGAUUAUAUUCAAAUAAGAUAUAAUUUGCAUAGUAAAUGCCUUAUUCUGUUAAUACUGGUAAUAACUGUGUUCCUGGUUUCCCCGUGACAGCUACAAUGAUACAGUCACACAGAACAACAUGGGGGCUUGUUCCUCUGUUGCAUUGUGCAGUAACUGCUCUGACGCAGUCUCUGUGAGAACAAAUGUCUUAGGUCAGGCAGAUUGCAAGAAUUUCCAAUUACAGCUGAAUGUGAUCAUGUGCACUCUCUCAGUUAUGUUUGUACGUGAUAAAAACAAUGCAUAUUUAUCAAACAACUUAUGCAGGUAUUUCUUAGAAAUAUUUUAUUAACUCUUUUAAAACAACUUGUAUACUAACAAAUACUGUAUUAAUAUUUUCCAUUACCUGAGACUAUAUAUUAAAAUAUCCCAUUGCAAUUACGCAUUUUCAGGUCAACUUUGUAAUUUUGUCAGGUUAUUCAUUAUACAUUCUAAAUAAUGAGUCAGUAUUACCAUUUGCAUAUAAGUUCAAGUACUUUUCUUUAAAAAAUGUAAAAGAAAAUGUAAAGGAAAAAUUUUUUUAAUUCCUUACAUGGUCACAAGUUUUCUCAUGAAACUAAUUUCUCAUUUAUAAUACCACAAGAACAAAGCAUGCUUUUUGUCUGUGCCAUCUUGCCAAAGACCACUAGAAUCACACCUGUAGUCAAAGAGUGGUGUGUAACGAGUUGUAAUAAGGAUGAACACAAAGCAUAAAUGACUGAGGGUUAUCAAUGAGAGGGUGCUUAAGAGGACUUCUUACAGGAUUUGUGUUUCUUUUGGGUGAUUUCAUUGCUAUUCAACAAAGUGAGGUGUUUGUAUUGGAUGCUGUGAGAUGAACUCAAUUGCGUCCUCGGAAAUUCUAAUAGAUCUUAUCUAGGAGGCAGAAAGAAUAGAGUGGUGCUAAAGCUAAUUCAUAAGAAGCACAGUCAUAUUAGAAGAGGAGAUUUCUGGUCAUUUUUAGGGUUUGGAGUCUGUUUUCUUUCUAACUAUAUCAGUGACAUAGUUACAGAAUUUCAUGUUGAUCCAUUAUGGUCACCUGGUAGCUUUGUCUGAUGGAGGUUUGUGACAGUUUUCAACAGGGUAAGACUUCGCCUUGAGCUGAGUUGGGGAGCAGCUGUCAUUGGGAACAGCUUUUGCUUUUCUCAUUAUCUAAACACUGAAGUAUUUCCUGCGGUAUGACGGACACUGUUAUCUAUAAAGUACCUCAGUUAAAUUAUUGACCAAAAUUAAGUCUGUUGAGGCAGAAAUAAUUUGAUAAAGGCUAAUCAAAGCCAAAUGUGAGGAUCAGCCUGAGAAGACACCAACAAAGCUGGGUAUGUUUCAAAGUCGUAACACUCUUGUAAGUUUAGGAGGCCAGGUGCCGUGGCUCAUGCCUAUAAUUCCAGGUACUUGGGAGGACUGCUUGAGGCCAGGAAUUUGGGACCAACCUGGGCAACAUAGGGAGACUUCAUGUCUAAAAACAUAAAAAAUAAAUUAUUAGCUGGGCAUAGUGGUGCCCAGUUGUAGUUCCAGUACUCAGAAGUGUGAGUCAGGAAGAUCAAGGAGUUCAACACCAACCUGGGCAACAUAAUCAGACCCCUCCCGUCUCAAAACACUAAAAAAUUAAGAAAAAUAGACUGGUUUCUGCAAGGGGUAAAAACAAUAAGAAAAAAUAAAAAACCUUGAGUGGACAUUUUUUCCAACAAAGACAUACAAAUGGUCUGAAAGCAUAUGAAAAGGGAUUUAAUAUCACUAAUCAUUACAGAAAUUCAAAUCAAAACCACAAUUACAUGUUACCUCAUACAUGCAAGGAUGGGUACUAUUGAAAGAUUAGUGUUAGGGUAUAGAGAAAAAGGAAGCUUUGUGUACUGUUGGUGGAAAUGUACAUUUGUACAGCCAUUGUGAAAAACAAUGUGGAGGUUCCUCAAAAAAAAAAAAAAAAAAACCAUGUGAUCCAACAGUCUCACCCCUGGAUAUAUGCAUAUAUGCCCAAAGGCAGUGAUCAGUAUUUCAAAGAGAUUAUCUGCCACUCACAUGUUCAUUACAGCAUUAUUCACAAUAGUCAAAAUAUGGAAACAAACUUAGCAGCCAUCAAUGAAUGAAUAAAGAAAAUGUGAUGUAUAUUUAAACAACAGAAUCUUACUCAGCCAUAAAAAGGAAAUCCUGACAUUUGUCACAACAUGAAUAAACGGGGUGGACACUAUAAGGCAGACAUAGGCAAAUACUUCAUGAACCCACUUAAUUGUGGAAUCUUAAACUCAGAGGUAGAGGGAGGAACGGUGGUUACUAGAGUCCAGAAGGUAGGGAAAAUGGAGAAAUGUUGGUCAAAGGUUAAAAACCAAGCUGUAAGGUGAACAAGUUCUGAAGAUUUAAUGUACAGCAUGGGUGGUCAUCAAUGUGUUAAUCUGACUGGUAACCAUUACAGAAUGUAUAUAUACAUCAAAACAUAACAUUGUACGUCAUGAACAUAUACAACCUUUGUGAAGUAUUUUAAAAUAAAAAAAGGAAUGUUUACUGAAUCUAUGCCUGUUGGAUCUUUGAAUUACUGAGAAGUGUUGAAGUCUUCAGUUAAUUGUGAAUUUGUCUGUCUCACCUUGCAGUUGUGUGUUCUUGCAUGACAUAUUUUGACAAUCUGUUAGGUGCAUAUCUUUUAAAUUAUGUCAUUUCUAUUAUUGGGUCUUAAUUUCUUUUCUUCCUGAAAUAUCUGGUUAUUCAAUCCAGUGUAUAUUUUAUACCAGGCAUUGUUGUUUUCCUUUCUAGUAGCUCAAAUUGUGUCUUUAGUUUUUAAUUUUGUUUCUUUCAGACAGGGUCUCUCCCUGUCACCCAGGCUGGAGUUCAGUGGUGUUAUCUUGGGUCACUGAAACUGCUGCCUCCCAAGCAAAUGAUCCUCCCACCUCAGCCUCCUGAAUAGCUGGGACCACAAGUGCACACUACCAUGCCCAGUUUUCCAUGUCCGUGAGACAAUGACACCGCUUCAGUGUGAACUCUCAUGAACUGAGUCUAGAUCCCCAGGGCUGUCCGUCUCACCUGUCCUCUACACAUCUGGGAUAUGUCACGGCUUGGUGGUCUUUGAAGAUGUGGCUGUGAACUUCAUCCAGGAGGAGUGGGCUUUGCUGGAUUUUUCCAUGAAGAAUCUGUAGACAUGUGAUGAGGGAAGCCAUCAGCACCUGUCUUCUAUAGCUGCAGUCCAAGAGGCCAACUGGAACAUCAACAUGAGACACUAAUCCAGCUGACUGACCCUAAAAUGGCUUCAAGUGGCCUGGGACUCCUUGGGAAAACAGAAAAGGCGCCACAAUCCCAUUUUGGAGAAAAUCUGUUUUCCUUAUGGAACCCCUGGAAUUAAAGGACACAAUUGGAAAAACUGGUUAUUUUACCAAGGCUUUGCCUGGAAUGGUGUGCCUUCCUUCAAGGAAUCAAAUUUGACUUAUGGAGCCAAUAAAGCCCUUGGAAAGCUGGCCUCAGAUUUUGUGUACACAGUCCCUGUACAGGGUUUCUGAUCUGUGGUAAGUAAAGAAUGUCACAUUUUGACAGGCCAGGAGUCCCAAGUUAUCUUGGAACCUCAAGAGGAGAGGAAUUCACCCAACUCAUAGGUAUUCAAUGGUACAAAUCCAUGGCUGGGCUUGCCUUUAAAAAGGUCUUAGCUCAGAUUCCUUCUACGAAACAAAGUUCCAUCAAAGCCAAUUUAAAGGGCCUAUGUAACAAAUAAUUAUUCUUGCUCCACUGUAUGCAAAUAACUAAGCCAAGUAUAAUAAAGAAACUCAGUCCUACUAGCAUGAUUUGUCUUUUAAUGAAAAUGGUAAACUUGAGAGAGAAAAUUAUGCUUCAAAAACGAUAGCACACCUGUUGUUAAAUUCUGGUGUUGCCCAAUGUUUUUCAAAUCUUGCUAUUUUCUGUUUAAAUUAAAUUCUAAUUUUUCUGGCUACAAGUUUCCAAAAUAGCUGUGCUUUCUAAAAGCUCUAUAAACUGAAAACUUGAUGUUUCAGCAGGCUCUGCCUCUAAGCCCCCUGACUCUCAUAGGAGGAAAUAAAUAGGAAAUCUUAAGCUAAAAAUCAUAAAAAAAUAAGUAACCAAGUGAGAAUUACUCAUCCUAUUCAGUCUCACCUCUACCUCAUCAAAUACUUUUAUCGUUCCUACCUCUGCUUUUAAGUCAAAUAUUAACUUUUUAAUGAAAAUUAUUUACUAUGCCACCCUUGUGGGAAUUGCUUUACUCACUCUACUAUUUGCAGUAGGACUAUAUACUGUAGCACCCUCAGGGUAAAAUAUCAGACAUAGAAUCUCAAUUACUAUAGCAUUUUGCUUAUUAUCCUCAUAGCAGGAAUAAUGGUUGCUAGCAGAAAAUAACACAUGGGCUUUCCAAACCAGCACCUCUGCUCUCAUUAGGUAAGGAAUAUUGUUUCUAUAUCAGCCAAUCAGACCUAGUAAAAAGCGCUAAAAAAAAAAGUUACAGAAAAAGCUAAAAAAGCUAAGGAGUACCAAAACAAGCAAAUAGAUUCUUGGUUUGGGAACAAAAUCAUAGCAUGGGUCAUCCCAUUCCUGGGCCCUCUCAUAAUAAUAUUCCUAAUUAUGGGACUACUGUUCUUACCCUGCCUAAUUAACCUUUUUCAAAGACUUUUUAAACUGACAGGAUCAUGGCCAUUUCACAAACAACUACCCAAAAACAUCUACAGACAGCACUGCUCCUACAGUCAACCCGAAACCAGGGAACUCUCUGUCCCCUCAUCAGCAGGAAGUAGCCAGAAAGAACAUGCUGCCCCUCAUCCUUUUUAUAACUAUAAGGUCUGGAUUGACGGCAGGAGCAUCACCAUCGUGGAUAAGCACCUCAUUUUAAAAUUCACCUUAAUCAAAAACUGCCUAAAUCCAAAGGGCAUCAGCCUAAUGGCUAAGGUCAGCAUGACCAUAAACCACACAUAACAUCUCCAACCAAAAACAUUCCAGACACCUCCCACAGAGACAUGCAACCUCGGGAUAACCCCUGUCCUGCCAGAAAGAUGUCACCCCCAAGAUAACCGCCUCUCUGCCCAGAACAUUCCAACCCCACCAUAAACUUCCCCCUCAUACAGAAACAUUCCUCUCCCUCACACAGAAACAUUCUAAGCUUGUAAUAAGCUCCCUCACCCUAAAACCAAUAUAUGCUCUUAGUCUGCAAGGAAAAGUGCUCCUGACUGAAAUCAGCCAGAAGCCUCUCUCAGGUCUUUUCUAUAAUAAACCUGUCUUUGACUAUCAA